GGCUGGUCCAAAGGUAGUGAGUUACCACGAUCGAUUGUUUAUAGUCAGUUACAGAUUGAACUCUUUCUCCCUGUUUCACUACUGCAUUUGACUCAUUUAAA
rnacentral:Y_RNA from 1 species